rnacentral:rRNA from 1 species
GACGAAGGGGGCUAGCGUUGUUCGGAAUUACUGGGCGUAAAGCGAGUGUAGGUGGUUGUCCAAGUUGGAUGUGAAAGCCUUGAGCUCAACUCAAGAAAUGCAUUCAGGACUGGGCGGCUAGAGGACCGGAGAGGAUAGUGGAAUUCCCAGUGUAGUGGUGAAAUACGUAGAGAUUGGGAAGAACACCAGUGGCGAAGGCGGCUCACUGGACCGGUACUGACGCUGAUGCGCGAAAGCGUGGGGAGCAAACGGG